rnacentral:rRNA from 1 species
AGUAACGCGUGAGGAACCUGCCUCAAAGGGGGGACAACAGUUGGAAACGACUGCUAAUACCGCAUAAGCCCACAGCUCGGCAUCGAGCAGAGGGAAAAGGAGUGAUCCGCUUUGAGAUGGCCUCGCGUCCGAUUAGCUAGUUGGUGAGGUAAUGGCCCACCAAGGCGACGAUCGGUAGCCGGACUGAGAGGUUGAACGGCCACAUUGGGACUGAGACACGGCCCAG